rnacentral:rRNA from 1 species
GACGAACGCUGGCGGCGUGCUUAACACAUGCAAGUCGAACGGAAAGGCCCUGGUUUUGUGGGGUGCUCGAGGGGCGAACGAGUGAGUAACACGUGAGUAACCUGCCCUUGACUUUGUGAUAACUUCAGGAAACUGGGGUGACUACUGGAUAGGAGCUCCUGCUGCAUGGUGGGGGGUGGAAGGUUUCGGCGGUUGGGGAUGGGCUCGCGGCUUAUCAGCUUGUUGGUGGGGUUGUGGCUUACCAGGUCUUUGAGGGGUAGCCGGCCUGAGGGGGUGACCGGACAGAUUGGGACUGAGAUAGGGCCCAGACUCCGACGGGAUGCAGCAGUGGGGAAUAUUGCACAAUGGGCGGAAGCCUGAUGCAGCAACGCCGCGUGCUGGAUGACGGCCUUCGGGUUGUAAGCCGCUUUCGCCUGUGACGAAGCGUGAGUGACGGUAAUGGGUAAAGAAGCACCGGCUAACUACGUG